UAAGGAAUAUUGGACAAUGGACGCAAGUCUGAUCCAGCCAUGCCGCGUGAAGGAUGACUGCCCUCUGGGUUGUAAACUUCUUUUAUUGGGGAAGAAAGUUAUUUUUUAGGAUAUUUGACGGUACCCUAUGAAUAAGCACCGGCUAACUCCGUGCCAGCAGCCGCGGUAAUACGGAGGGUGCAAGCGUUAUCCGGAUUCACUGGGUUUAAAGGGUGCGUAGGCGGGUAUGUAAGUCAGUGGUGAAAUACCGGAGCUUAACUUCGGAACUGCCAUUGAUACUAUAUAUCUUGAAUAUUGUGGAGGUAAGCGGAAUAUGUCAUGUAGCGGUGAAAUGCUUAGAGAUGACAUAGAACACCGAUUGCGAAGGCAGCUUGCUACGCAAAUAUUGACGCUGAGGCACGAAAGCGUGGGGAUCAAACAGGAUUAGAUACCCUGGUAGUCCACGCCCUAAACGAUGAUUACUCGACAUUAGCGAUACACAGUUAGUGUCUGAGCGAAAGCAUUAAGUAAUCCACCUGGGAAGUACGACCGCAAGGUUGAAACUCAAAUGAAUUGACGGGGUCAUAGCUGUUUUCCU
rnacentral:rRNA from 1 species